rnacentral:snRNA from 1 species
GCUCCGGAGCGCACACUAAACUCGGAACUCAGAGGUGAGCAUCGCCCCUGCCCGAGGGUGACGUGCAAAUCUGUGAAGCGGUCCAUAUUUUU